rnacentral:rRNA from 1 species
GAUGAACGCUGGCGGCGUGCUUAACACAUGCAAGUCGAACGAAGCACUUAUCUUUGAUUCUUCGGAUGAAGAGAUUUGUGACUGAGUGGCGGACGGGUGAGUAACGCGUGGGUAACCUGCCUCAUACAGGGGGAUAACAGUUAGAAAUGACUGCUAAUACCGCAUAAGACCACAGAGCCGCAUGGCUCGGUGGGAAAAACUCCGGUGGUAUGAGAUGGACCCGCGUCUGAUUAGGUAGUUGGUGGGGUAACGGCCUACCAAGCCAACGAUCAGUAGCCGACCUGAGAGGGUGACCGGCCACAUUGGGACUGAGACACGGCCCAAACUCCUACGGGAGGCAGCAGUGGGGAAUAUUGCACAAUGGGGGAAACCCUGAUGCAGCGACGCCGCGUGAGCGAAGAAGUAUUUCGGUAUGUAAAGCUCUAUCAGCAGGGAAGAAAAUGACGGUACCUGACUAAGAAGCACCGGCUAAAUACGUGCCAGCAGCCGCGGUAAUACGUAUGUUGCAAGCGUUAUCCGGAUUUACUGGGUGUAAAGGGAGCGUAAACGGCUGUUGUAAUCCGAAGUGAAAGCCCGGGGCUCAACCCCGGGACUGCUUUGGAAACUAUGCAGCUAGAGUGUCGGAGAGGUAAGUGGAAUUCCCAGUGUAGCGGUGAAAUGCGUAGAUAUUGGGAGGAACACCAGUGGCGAAGGCGGCUUACUGGACGAUGACUGACGUUGAGGCUCGAAAGCGUGGGGAGCAAACAGGAUUAGAUACCCUGGUAGUCCACGCCGUAAACGAUGACUACUAGGUGUCGGGGAGCAAAGCUCUUCGGUGCCGCAGCAAACGCAAUAAGUAGUCCACCUGGGGAGUACGUUCGCAAGAAUGAAACUCAAAGGAAUUGACGGGGGACCCGCACAAGCGGUGGAGCAUGUGGUUUAAUUCGAAGCAACGCGAAGAACCUUACCUGCUCUUGACAUCCCGGUGACCGGCAUGUAAUGAUGCCUUUUCUUCGGAACACCGGUGACAGGUGGUGCAUGGUUGUCGUCAGCUCGUGUCGUGAGAUGUUGGGUUAAGUCCCGCAACGAGCGCAACCCUUAUCUUCAGUAGCCAGCAAUUCGGAUGGGCACUCUGGAGAGACUGCCAGGGAUAACCUGGAGGAAGGUGGGGAUGACGUCAAAUCAUCAUGCCCCUUAUGAGCAGGGCUACACACGUGCUACAAUGGCGUAAACAAAGGGAAGCGAGCCUGCGAGGGUAAGCAAAUCUCAAAAAUAACGUCUCAGUUCGGAUUGUAGUCUGCAACUCGACUACAUGAAGCUGGAAUCGCUAGUAAUCGCGAAUCAGCAUGUCGCGGUGAAUACGUUCCCGGGUCU